AUAAGAGUAGUCUUAUACUAUGCGUAUACGGUGUCAGCCAGUACCAAAAACGUCUAAUCGGCCGAGUCAUACGGAACGCCAAAUUACCCCCUCUAAAAUUUCAGCACCGAAAAAUUGAACGAAAAAUUUUCGUGACAAUCAGCAAAAAGCUGAUCCUACGAGCUACGACAGUUUUACCUACCAAUGUUUAGCGUUUCGUGCUGCAACUAGUAGUUGAUAUUCCAGGAUGUUAUGCCUAAAAUUGGAAUUCAGCUAUCAGAGAUUAGCAAAAUUGAAGCGGAAACUCUAGAUGGCGUUGAUGUACGUAUAUGAUGAAGAUUAUGAGUGACAAGUUAAUUGGGUGUUUGUUACGUUAUCCUGUUUUGUGUUUCAAAGGAUUUUUCGUCAAAAAAUUUACGCUAUGCCAGCUGCGAACCAGUAGCCUGCAUUCAUGCUAUCAAUGUACCACAAGAGAUCCUGACACUUUAAGAAGGCCACUAUUGCUUACAUGAAGAUCACCAUCCAGUUCAAUCAACGACAGAGUCUUCAUCUACUUUGUGUUGCUAACCAUCAGCCCUCAACAUCCCAGGUAUCCAGAUUUCCAAGUUUCUCUGAUUAGCCAACCAUCACCCAUACCCUUCAGCUCUUCAGUGUGGCUUCUCUUCCUCUCUUCCUAGUCUGCUGAAUACCAACAUUGAAUAAGGUUCCUCAUCAUUGCCUUUCCAUGCCAGCUCACAUGGAUGGGCUUUAACUAAGAAAAACUUCUGUGAUAGGACUGCAAAUAUUCAUCUUCCUUCGGUACAACACUGCCGUUUUGACAAUUUCUGUAGUUUCGCCCCCAGUGAACCACACGCAACUACAUUUUCUUCAUCUUCCUGUCGUUGUUGUCUGCGACUUCACCUCAUCGCUGUCUUCGUUGACGUCUUCGCCUUCAUCUCCGUCUCGUCGUCUUGACCGUCUUCGCCUUCAUCUCCGUCUCGCCGUCUUCGCCUUCAUCUCCGUCUCGUCGUCUUCGCCGUCUUCGCCUUCAUCUCCGUCUCGUCGUCUUCGCCGUCUUCGCCUUCAUCUCCGUCUCGUCGUCUUCGCCGUCUUCGCCGUCUUCGCCGUCUUCGCCUUUGUUUCAUCGCCGUCUUUUUCUACGCCAACACUUUGUCGCCGGCUUCUCCUUCGCACUUCACGUAGGGAAUUCACCGUGGAUCGUCGUCCUGGUAUUGUUUUAUUUUGCAUUGUUGUGUUUAAGUUAACCCGUUGGCUGCCACCCCGUUUGCGUCCCAUUUUUUUUGUAGCUUGUAGGGACCGGCCGCAAUGGCCUUCGCCGCAAGGCGCCUUAGGCA
rnacentral:lncRNA from 1 species